UACGAAGGGGGCUAGCGUUGUUCGGAAUCACUGGGCGUAAAGCGCACGUAGGCGGACUUUCAAGUCAGGGGUGAAAUCCCGGGGCUCAACCUCGGAAUUGCCUUUGAUACUGUAAGUCUCGAGUCCGGAAGAGGUGGGUGGAAUUCCUAGUGUAGAGGUGAAAUUCGUAGAUAUUAGGAAGAACACCGGUGGCGAAGGCGGCUCACUGGUCCAUUACUGACGCUGAGGUGGCGAAAGCGUGGGGAGCAAACAGG
rnacentral:rRNA from 1 species